GAUGAACGCUGGCGGCGUGCCUAAUACAUGCAAGUCGAGCGAACAGACGAGGAGCUUGCUCCUCUGACGUUAGCGGCGGACGGGUGAGUAACACGUGGAUAACCUACCUAUAAGACUGGGAUAACUUCGGGAAACCGGAGCUAAUACCGGAUAAUAUAUUGAACCGCAUGGUUCAAUAGUGAAAGACGGUUUUGCUGUCACUUAUAGAUGGAUCCGCGCCGCAUUAGCUAGUUGGUAAGGUAACGGCUUACCAAGGCAACGAUGCGUAGCCGACCUGAGAGGGGGAUCGGCCACACUGGAACUGAGACACGGUCCAGACUCCUACGGGAGGCAGCAGUAGGGAAUCUUCCGCAAUGGGCGAAAGCCUGACGGAGCAACGCCGCGUGAGUGAUGAAGGUCUUCGGAUCGUAAAACUCUGUUAAUAGGGAAGAACAAAUGUGUAAGUAACUAUGCACGUCUUGACGGUACCUAAUCAGAAAGCCACGGCUAACUACGUG
rnacentral:rRNA from 1 species